UACGGGGGGGGCAAGCGUUGUUCGGAAUUACUGGGCGUAAAGGGCUCGUAGGCGGCCAACUAAGUCAGACGUGAAAUCCCCAGGCUCAACCUGGGAACUGCGUCUGAUACUGGAUGGCUUGAAUCCGGGAGAGGGAUGCAGAAUUCCAGGUGUAGUGGUGAAAUGCGUAGAUAUCGGGAGGAACACCAGUGGCGAAGGCGACUUCCUGGCCUGUUCUUGACGCUGAGGCGCGAAAGCUAGGGUAGCAAACGGG
rnacentral:rRNA from 1 species